UUUCAGAUGCCCAAAAUCCGUAUAGACCACCAAUAUACAACAUAGAGUUUAAUUGGAAUAUAUAUAUAUAUAUAAGAUAUACUACUAUACAGGUUAAAUUAAAAACCAUGACAACAAUGAGACACUUAUGUUUAGUAUUGGCAGUGAUCAUCCUGGUGGUGGUUUCACAACCAUGUACUUUUGUAAAUGGUAGAGUACUACUACUUGUUCUUCAUUCAACUUCAGCAACAACAAAUGAGACAGUUGAAAGAGAAGACGUACAUACGCUAGCCUCCGGCCCGAGCAGAAAGGGACGUGGUCACAGGUGAAUUAAUUGCCUCUGCCAAAUUCAGCUUAAUUAAUUGUGUUUUCUUAAUUCAUUUGCAUGGACGUUACAACUUAAUUUCAACAUGCAUGCAUGGGAGCUGGGAGGUGUAUCAUAUAUAUCAACUACUAGUGCGCGCAGCUAUAGAUUUUGGUACUUUAUUCUUUCAUUAUCUUUUGCUUGUUAACUUACGUACAUAUUAGACCACGAUAUAUAUAUAUAUAUAUGAGUGUAUGUAGAUCGAAGAAAGAUGAACUUAUAUAUCAACGAGGAUAAAGUUGUUAGCUUUUCAAGUUUAUAAAUUAAUUAAGCUGCCCUUUUUUAAUUUGCCUCUUAUUUUGGUCUGUACGUUGCUUCAACUUCUUUUGGUUUGUCACCAUAUUGAUGAAUGUUACAGAAAUCACUCGGAAGUGGUAUUUGCUUGGUAAAAAAAAUCAAAUCUGAAAAUAAGAUUCUCAAGGCGGGUACGGUG
rnacentral:lncRNA from 1 species